UAGAUAGUCAUUGGUUCCGGCGCGGUGA
rnacentral:piRNA from 1 species